UGUCCUAUGUUAAUUAUAAAGUAAAUUCAUCGUACUGAAUGCAAACUUUUGCAUAACAGACUCUAUUUACACCUAUAGAAUCUGAGCAUUA